AACGAACGCUGGCGGCAGGCCUAACACAUGCAAGUCGAGCGAGGACUUCGGUUCUAGCGGCGGACGGGUGAGUAACGCGUGGGAAUGUGCCCUUCUCUACGGAAUAGCCCUGGGAAACUGGGAGUAAUACCGUAUACGCCCUAUGGGGAAAGAUUUAUCGGAGAAGGAUCAGCCCGCGUUGGAUUAGGUAGUUGGUGGGGUAAUGGCCUACCAAGCCGACGAUCCAUAGCUGGUUUGAGAGGAUGAUCAGCCACACUGGGACUGAGACACGGCCCAGACUCCUACGGGAGGCAGCAGUGGGGAAUCUUAGACAAUGGGGGCAACCCUGAUCUAGCCAUGCCGCGUGAGUGAUGAAGGCCUUAGGGUUGUAAAGCUCUUUCAGCUGGGAAGAUAAUGACGGUACCAGCAGAAGAAGCCCCGGCUAACUCCGUG
rnacentral:rRNA from 1 species